rnacentral:rRNA from 1 species
CCUACGGGAGGCAGCAGUAAGGAAUAUUGGUCAAUGGAGGCAACUCUGAACCAGCCAUGCCGCGUGCAGGAAGACGGCCCUAUGGGUUGUAAACUGCUUUUGAACUAGAGAAAACCUUGGUACGUGUACCGAGUUGAUAGUAUAGUUAGAAUAAGCAUCGGCUAACUUCGUGCCAGCAGCCGCGGUAAGACGAAGGAUGCAAGCGUUAUCCGGAUUCAUUGGGUUUAAAGGGUGCGUAGGCGGACUGAUAAGUCAGUGGUGAAAUCUCUCAGCUUAACUGAGAAACUGCCAUUGAUACUGUUAGUCUAGAGUACAGAUGAUGUGGGCGGAAUAUGACAUGUAGUGGUGAAAUACUUAGAUAUGUCAUAGAACACCGAUUGCGAAGGCAGCUCACAAAACUGUAACUGACGCUGAGCACGAAGUAGCGGGAGUACAACAGAUAGAUACCUACGUAGUCGCACCGUAACGAUGAUACUCGUUGUUGU